UUUUAGGUGGUGUUUGUUUUUGCAGAGGUAAAAGGAAAUGAAAUCUUUGAGCAGUGUAGGGCUUGGUUUGAGCAUAGUGUUUGUUCUUCUGUUCUUAGCAUUGAUUGCCGAGUUGUAUUACUUGCUAUGGUGGAAGAAGAGAUUGUUCUACAUGUUUUGUGGGAAGAAAUCAGCUUUGAAUCCACAUGAA